rnacentral:rRNA from 1 species
UACAGAGGUCCCGAGCGUUAGGCGGAAUCACUGGGCUUAAAGCGUGUGUAGGCGGAUUGCUAAGUACCUUGUGAAAUCCCACGGCUUAACCGUGGAACUGCUUGGUAUACUGGCUGUCUUGAGCCACUUAGGGGCAACCGGAACAAACGGUGGAGCGGUGAAAUGCGUAGAUAUCGUUUGGAACGCCAAUGGUGAAAACAGGUUGCUGGGAGUGUGCUGACGCUGAGACACGAAAGCCAGGGGAGCAAACGGG